UUCCCAUAGGAAAAUAUUUUACAAACACGGUAAAAUCCAAAGCUUUUUUUUGGAAAUUGUCUUACCCAUUUCUCUACCGUAAGACAUUUUCCUUUCUCCUUUCUCUUCUAAGCAAAUUUUCUUCCACAUCUUCAUCUCCGUUCAUCACCUCCCCUCACCAUCUCUGUUCGUCAUCUCCGUCGACCGUCGGCCUUACUUCUAUAUUGAAGAAACCCUAAAAAGUUGGCAAGCACAGUCAAGAAAACAAAAGCCCAGAAGCAGUGGUUCUCUCUCUGUCAUCAACAGUUGGUUGUGGAAAGAAUGUUGGCUUCUGAAGGAAUAAAAAGGGUAGAACUGGGCAGAGAUGAAUUUGAAAAACGAGUUUGAGAGUGGAAAGAGAAGUAUGGUGGGACCAUUACUAAUCAGAUUAAGAGACUUGGGGCUUCUUGUGACUGGACUAGAGAAUGUUUCACCCUCGAUGAGCAGCUAAGUCGAGCUGUUAUAGAGGCUUUUAUUAGACUUCACGAAAAAGGAUUAAUUUAUCAAGAUUCCUCACUUGAGACCUGCGGAAUACAAGAGGUCUAGGUUACCUAGGAAUAGGACUGUGAACCGUGCCUAUGGUGGUGUGUUAUCUGGCAGUGCAGUCAGGGAGAGGAUUAUUUGGGCCUUUUUGGUUGAAGAACAGAAGAUAGUGAAGAAGGUUUUGAAGAUUCAGAAAACCAAGGAAAAGGUUUCAUAAAAGAACCAGUUCAACUGAUAAAAGAUUCAUUAUGACAGGAAGUAACAACGUUGUUUCUGAUUUUUUUUUUUCUUCUAGUUCUACGCAUUUUCAGACAUCUCUUGUACAAGUAAACUUCAUAAAUAAACUUCAUAAAUAGAGAAAGAAUCAAGACACCGCAUGUUGUAUCAAUAUCUUUCUAAGAGGGUGGCUAUUCCAGUUAGUAAGAAAUAGAACAGUAACCACAUAAAAUUUGGCUUCAAAAAUUUUCUCAAGGUUGAAGAUAUUGAUACUUUUAUGUGGUGUAAUAUUAUGCACUUGGACAAUGUUGUUACUAUGUGGUGUACUACUAAUUAUGUAUUUGGAUAAUAUUAUUUCUAGUGCUCAUUGUGGUUUCGAAGCAA